rnacentral:lncRNA from 1 species
CCCUGAAAGCCCUCAUUGCUGCCCCAUCCUACAGGUCCCGGGUCAGAAGUAAAGACGACUUUGCUCGACUUCGCUCGACACUACAAAGUCUCCCCCAGAUACCAGAAGUCGUGCUCUCACUUGGAUAUCUUGGACAAAAGGACCCCUAAGCUCAUUUGGGAUACAUCUUGGGUACCACAUGUCAGAUCAAUGUCCAACUGCUGUCCUCCUCCUACCCGCGGCUUUGUAACUAGCAAAUGGCCCUGUCCAUUGCACAGGACUACUGAGCCCUUCAUGGAAUGCCACCCCAGAACCUUCUGGAAGGGGUAUGAAGAACUGAUGAAUCUUCCCAUAAGUGGAGUUCACACAAGAUGUUGGGACCAAAGAACCGGGAAGAGUGAGGCUGGGCAAGCCAGAGGGCUUCUUCCUCUCAUACCCUGAGCAAUGAGGGAUGUCAGAUUGUAUGAGAGAGGAGGCCACUCUCACAUGCUAGCUAUGUGCGACCUUUCCUAGAGUGAGGGACUUGAAUAAAGUAAUGGAUUUUCAGAAGUCUCGAGGGAGGUGAUGAU